GCUGGGCACGGUGGUGCAUGCCUGUAAUCCCAGCGGCUUGGGAGGUUGAGGCAGGAGGAUCGUGAGUUCAAAGCCAGCCUCAGCAACUUAGCAAGGCCUUUAGUGAGACCCUGUCUCUA
rnacentral:sRNA from 1 species